rnacentral:rRNA from 1 species
AGCAGUAGCCGCGGGAAUACGUAGGGUGCAAGCGUUAAUCGGAAUUACUGGGCGUAAAGCGUGCGCAGGCGGUUAUAUAAGUCAGAUGUGAAAUCCCCGGGCUCAACCUGGGAACUGCAUUUGAGACUGUAUGGCUAGAGUGUGUCAGAGGGGGGUAGAAUUCCACGUGUAGCAGUGAAAUGCGUAGAUAUGUGGAGGAAUACCGAUGGCGAAGGCAGCCCCCUGGGAUAACACUGACGCUCAUGCACGAAAGCGUGGGGAGCAAACAGGAUUAGAGACCCCCGUAGUCCCUGUCUCUUAUAC